rnacentral:misc_RNA from 1 species
AAGUCGUAACAAGGUUUCCGUAGGUGAACCUGCGGAAGGAUCAUUAACACGUAUCCAACGUUAAACCCCCCUGUGAACUAUUGCCGUGCUCUCGUAGACCUUGAUGAACAGCAAUCCCUGGUAAAUCAUUGACGAACAGCGUUUGAUUGAGGGACCUCUGUUUGAGAGCGAACAACUGUUAACAAUGGAUAUCUUGGUUCUC